UACACGUAUAAGGUAUUGUUAUUCCCAGUUAACCAGAAGUGGCACAGACGUGAAACCUCACGUUAACUAAAUACGGCUCAUAAUUCUGAAGAAUGCUAAAUUCUAAGUGUUCUUACUUUUAUCUCCACUUGAAUGAUGAAGAAACGAAGGCAUAGAGAAUAGAAGUGAUUUGGUCAAGGUCAGAGUGCUAGCUAUGGCAUAAUGAAGAAUGAUACUUAAUUAAAUUGAUUUUUGGCCUAAGAUAGAAGUCACACCCUUCUCUCCAAACAUAUAACAAGUACAAGUAUUAAUUAUGGUGACAGCCACAUCCACUGCCUCUUCCCCACUUGCCCAGCUGACAGCCCACUCUGUAAAGGACUGACUAGCUCUUCUCUCUGUACUGGAGGCUGCUGACUGGGGAUGCCUACAGGGGUGCUUUAAUUAACUGAAUAUUCUUGAGAGCCUCCUUCUGUGGCUUGGAUGUGAAGGUAAGGAGAGGAUGGGUCUUUGAGCCCAAGAAGAGAGUGGAACAGACCCAAGGAAGUGUCGGGGAGAGACCAUGAGAGGGAAAGGUGAAGAGAGUCCCCCAUCACCAGAGUUGCCUUAGAUCCUGAGGGUUUUCCGGUCUAGUUCCUGUCCCACUGUCUGGGUAUCCUUUAAACAAACACCUUAUCUUUAUAAUGGUCUGCACAAACCUCUCUUUCUUGUAGCCAAGAAAGUCCAACAUGAUGGAUGCUGGGCACUUCUCAACUGGACUUCUCAGCUUCCUUAUUGGUGUUCCUGCCUCUCAUCUCUGCCUCCAUCUACCCCAUUUUACAUGCAUUAAUCUUACAGGUAGACCUUAAAGUACAAUCCGAACAUGUCAGUUUCCUAAUCGCUAAUCUUCCACUGCCCCCAACGGCUGUGGAAUAAACUUCAGACUAACAGCAUGGCCUUCAAAGUUAAAUAUUGCAUGCCACAUAGGAAAUGCCCAUAGAUAUUAGCCCUUUCCAGCCAGACUUCCCACUACAUCCUUUCCAAGUCUAUAUUGUAGUCUUUGCAUAUCAAGUGAUUUAUUGAUUUGCUGCUUUCAAUGAAAAAAUACAUAAGCAAAGCACACUUGCUAUUUUUCAAAUGUAAGAGGUAAACAUUAUGAACAUAGGGGAUAUCUUUGGCAUCUUCUGUCUUCCAGCCCUUAAGGGGUUGGAAUUAUCUUAUUAGCUCCUAUGCUUUUAUAAAGUAGAUGAAGGUAAUGGAUUAGGGACAGAACCGGAGAAGCAAACUAAAUGAAUUUAUAUUAUAAAGAACAGAGAGUUACUGAUGGAAGAAAAAGUACCAGUAAAAACGAGGCAGAGGAAACAAAAACCUGUGCCUAGGCUGGGUUGGGAGGAUGUUUUGGAGGUUUUAGAGUGUAGGAGAAGAGAGGCUUUGGAGUAGCUGCCAUGCAUGGUCAUUCAUGUGGGAGAUCUGGGAGAAAAAUUAUGAAAGAAGGUAGUAUGAAGUUUAGCUGUGUAAUAUGAAUGCAACACACCCCAUCCCCUGCCUUGGCAUUUUAUUGAACACUGCUUUAAAGAUUUACUUUGCUUUUUAAUUGUUUUCACUUGACAGAUUGAUAUCCAAGACAUUGCGGGCUAGUACUGGUUAUAAUUAUACUAUGCAUCUCCACACACUGCAUUGUGCACCUACAAUUUAUAGUUCCCUCCUCUCCUUUAUCACCAGUUAUCCAACUUCUACUUAUAUUCAAGGCUCUUCAGAUGGCAGGACUCGCAUGAAACCCCCUUUUGAUGUGCCAAACCAAAAUUAAAAGAUCGUCUCUCUCCUCUUCCUCAACACGUUUCUUUGCCUUUAUUAUAGCAUCUGUCUCCCUCUACCUUGUCUCUAGUCUGUCUCUGGCACUAAUCUGUAAGCUUUUCAAGGGAAAAAAAAGUCUUAAUCAUAUCUGUAAGUCCUAUAACGCUCUGAUGGUUAAUUUUGUGCGUCAGCUUGACUGGGCCCCAGAGUGCCCGGAUAUUUGGUCAGACGUUCUGGGUGUGUCUCUGAAGGAGAUUAAUAUUUGCAUCAGUAAAGCAGAUCACCCUCCUUAAGGUAGGUGGGCCUCAUCCAAUCAAUUAAAGACCUAAACAGAACAAAAAGGCUGAGCAAGAGGGAACUGGCACUGCCUUUGAGCUGGGACACAAGUCUUUCCCUGCCUUCAGACUUGAACUGAAACACUGUCUCUCUUUGUAUCUUGAGCCUGCCAGCUUUGGGGCUGGAACUACACUAUUGGCUCUCCUGGUUCUCAAGCCUUUGGACUCAGACUGGAACUAAACUGUCUGGGUCUCCAGCUUGCUGCCUGCAGAUCUUAGGACUUCUCAAAGUCCAUAAUCAUACUUUAAACUCCUAAGGACAGCGGUCAUGUCUUCAUUUUGUACCCACUCAUCUCUAGUCCACUUCACCCUGCAGAUCCUCGACAGGAGUUUGUUUCCUCUUAUUAAAAAAAUGAGGAAUGACACAGGGAGGUCAAGCAUCUUCCGUACAUUCACACGGUUGGGAAAGCACCAUGUGAAGAUGAAAGCAGAGAUCUAUAAGCCAAGGAACACCAACGUUUGCCAGCAAACUACUAGAAGCUAGGGCAGAGGCCUGGAACAGAUUCUCCCUCACAGCCCUCAGAAGGAACUAACCUUGCUGACACCUGGACUGCUAGUCUCCAAAAUAGUGAGACGAUAUGUUUUUCUGUUGUUACCCAGUUUGUGGUACUUUGUCACAGCAGCCCUAGCAAACCAAUACAAAUGAGUUGUUUUAAGAACAAAACUGACAAUGAUUGUUGCAUAUUCCAUAAAGGGCUAUUCAUAUGUUACUUUUUACUAUACAAAAUUUACUUGUGGCUUUUUGCUGCAAGCUUAUUCUCAAAAGCUAGGACUUAAGUCUGGAGAAUAACCCUACUGGUGAUAAUGAAAAUAUCAUAGUAGUUUGAUAUAUCGAAAAAAGCAUGUACUGGGCUUGGUGCUAAGCAUUCAAUGUUCAUUUUGUCAUUUGCUUGAAUUACCAGAUCCUGUUCUCCUUAAUUUCUCUCAUAUUCCUCCAUUUCUAUUUCCACUGUUCCUGGUCACCAUCAUGUCUCACCAGCAUCACUGCAACACUCUCCUGACAGCCCUGCUUCUGGUCUAGACCUCUCCAAUCCAUUCUUCACACUGCCAGAAUCAGUGGUGACCUCAGAAUUUCUGUAUGAGCGUGGCUUAGGGGAGAUAACCUAGUUGAAAGCAAGGCCGAGGGUGAUCACUGAGGCAGUAUAAUACUGUAAUCACAAGCAUGGCUUCUGGAUCCAGCCUGAACAGGUUCAAGUCCCAGCACCACUACUUACUAAUUGUGUGACCUCAAAUUUCCAUUCCUUCUUGUGAAGAUUGAGUUAAACACAUUUUAAAAGAUCACCUAGAACGGUGUCUGGCGCAUAGGAAGCUUUAAUGAUAUUAGCUAUUAUCAUUCUUGUUUUUCUGCUACGGUUAUAUAACAAGCACAUGUUUCUAAUGAAGUAUAUAUUUUCUUGGUGGUGCUGAUGGAAAUGGUUGUGAGGACCCACUGUUACCCUUUGGUUAGCUACUGAGCUAUUGGUAAGAAUGAUCACAAAACUAAUCAUUAUACUCCUCUGCUUAAAACUUCAAGUGCCUUUCUAUUUCCCUCAUGAUAAAAAUCCACUUUUUGAUGUAGCCAGCAUGGCCUUCCAAAGGGGGCCUUGCCCUGUCUCUCCAGCCUUGCCUCUCCCCACACUGCCCCUGGGGUCCUGCACUCCAGUCGCACUGAACCAUCACAGGUCUCCCUGCUGCAGACCUACCCUCUCUAAGGAGGGGGUUUGGACAGCAGAGACACUGAACAGACACCUGGAUACUCACCAACAGGAAGGGGACAGCGGAGGUUUUAGGUUUCAGUCAAAGCAGCUGAGCCCAUCUUCCUUACCCCCAGGCCCACAUGCUUCGCUCGUUGUGGAAGCAGAACCCUGCCGUCUGGCAGCAAGUUCCCUAUCUAAGCAGAAAUCACCUUGAGGUUUGUUCUGAGCUGGUAUUCCCUUGGGAAACCACUCAACCUCCAGAGCCUUGGAAAGAGAGGCAGGAACUAUCAGAACAGCCAGAUGAAAUAAUUCUUGUCUGCUGCUUAUUAAUUUUUUAAAAAGAUGAAUAAAAUAUUUCACAUAAGGUGUUCUUACAUUGCUUUGUGGUUUUUACCUCCCCAGAAUAAUUUCCAAUAACUGCUCUCCAGGAAAUUUUUAAUGCAAAUCUGUGUCUUCUAACCACUGCACUGGAAUUCACAGUGCACAUCUGUUAGACCCUCCUGACAAAAGAGCCCAGAUGAAAGUCGAUGCCUUUGGAGGAUUUGCUCACUUAAUAAACAUUUAUUAAGUACUUACUAUGUGAAAGACAUUGUUCUGGGCAAUAGGGAGAAAGUAGAGAGAUGACGUAAACAAAGUGCCUGCCCUCAAGGGACUUACAGUGUAACUGAGGUAAAACACACACACACACACACACACACACACAUAAAACAUACACAAACAUACAGAUGCACACACAGACACACAUAACACACCACUGUAAUAAGACAUAAUGUGGUGAGGGCUUCCGUAAAGAGAGGAACAAGUUCUCACAGGAAUUUUGGGGAGGUAGGAAGUAUUUAAAUCUGAGAGAAAUAGGGAGAAUCAAAGUGCAGUUUCGUGACCAAAUUUCAAAGAAAGUAAAGAGAAAGGCUUUGUUCAGAAAUAUAUUUAGCUAAUUCAUGCUGCAAUACAGUCUCUCUCCAGGGCAGAACCAAAAAGAAAAGUGGUUGUUUCUGCUGCACUGCAUGGGGUCAGGACCCAAGCAUCACACUUUAGUGCUCUGGGCCGGGAGAAGGUGAUUUCAGUGGCUGUAGAGCUCUGCCUUUCAGGGGAGGGACCAGCCUUGCAGCCUGGGAGUCUGCAAACACAUCCAUCCUACCCAAGGAUGGCCUUGCUCAGUUCCUUCACAUGUCUUUGCUUCAGCUGCGGCCGCUCUCUGCGGCACUUGAAAGAAAUGAGGCAUUUCUGUGAAGACAUGUUGUGUUCCUGAAAAACCUCACAUUCUACAAAAUCACACAAUGAAGGUAACAGGGCUGAUGGGAAAAAAUAGGGUUAAGAGCAGAUUAUUCAAAGUCUAUGUGACUUUGUAAUUGGUCUCUAAGAGAUGCAGUAAUCGGUACCUUGGGAGGUAAAUUGGAUGGCCAAAGCAGGCAGCCCACCCAGUAGGCCCAGAAGAUGCUUUGGGGAAAAUUUAAAAUGCACAGAAACAAUUGAGUCGAAACUCUGACUUAAGGUGCCGUGAGCCAGUGAGACUGCUGUGAAGGUGAGUGUGAUGGGGGGAAGUUGAACCUGGGAGGUGCAAGGAACCUGGGAUGUGUGUCUCUGGGGCAGGAGCCCCAAGGGCAGGUGUUCAUUUAAAAUUAAAAGAAAAAAAGAACGGAAAGCCACACUGAGCCCUUCCCACUGAAGUUGUCAUUCUUCUCUGCUAUUUCAGCUCCCCUUGCCUUGGAAAAAGUUGCAUGUGAACCAAUACUAUUUCCAUGGUAAGCCAGUAUUGUUCCCCUAUUUUCCAACCACAUAUGAGCUAAUUAGUGCUCUAGAAAUCUAUAUAGCAGCAGACAGACUGUAUUAACGAAUUACCAAGAAAUAAACUGGGAUAGAGAUACCUACCUCUUAAGGACAAUUCUCAUUGUAUCAGAGGUCCAUGAGGGUGAUAAAACAAUAGCUAAUUCUUAUUGGUCAUGUUCUGUGUGCCAGCGCUAUGCAUACAGAGUCUCGUUCAUUCCUUACAACAAUGCUACGAGGCAAGUACCACUAUCUUUACCUUUUGACAUGUGGGGAGACUGAGGCUUAGCUUAAGUAAAUGACCAAAGCUCUCACAGCUAGAAAAUGGGAGAGCCGGGUCUUAAACCCAGGGAGUCCAACUUGUGAGCCUGUGCUCCUAAGAGCCACACUUCUAGAAAAAAGUGCCAUAUGGCAGGAGGCUACAAGGUUGGAAGGCUCCCUUGGCCUCACCCCUGCAUAUCUUCUCUCGCUCCAUUUCUGAAAACAAGGCCUUCCUUGAUCCGCUACGCGGAUGUGUAGAGCACACUCAUCCCAGAAGACGUCAGCUGCUCUUUGUUUUAUUCAAACAUUAAUGGUUUCUCUGUUGUCCAGUUUCAGCCUCCUUCUCAAAUACUUAGAAGCUGAGAGAUACCACAUUCCUUAUAGAUCAUCAGCUUACCUCCACUUGUGUAACUGGUAAAUGAUGAACGCUCUGAAAAUUAGAUUAAGUUAGCAAACGUGGGAUUAAUCUGAAUAAAUUCUACUCUUAAAUAUUACAAGCAGAAUAUUUGAGUAAAUCAGGUAAAUGUUUGAAUCAAUCAAACAUAUUACUUUGUUCAUAAACUAAUAAAGUAACUAGGUUUAUAAAGGAAUGCUGAAAUUGAAGACAUUUAUUUCAGCCUAUCCAAAAAGUUUCUCUUUCUCUCUCUCUUUCUUUUCCCCAUAAAAGGAGAAAAGGAAUUAUUUUAAAUACUAUAUGAAGCACUGGGCUUCAAGGUAAAAUUAUGUAACUGUUUUCUAGAUAUUGAUUAGUACAGGUUUUAGGUUUCUGAGAAGUUUAGAUUGCCAUGUACUCAAGUUCUUUUUUUCCCUGAAGAAUCCAGGACGUAGAGUAUGUUUCCCUAACUCUAAGUGCCUCUCCUUCAUCUCUUUAUAUUGGGAAAAGCAAGGCGAGCGUGGAUCCAGGGAACCCAGACCGUGAGCAUCAAGAGUGGGGAAGAAAUUGGCAAAGAGGAGGCGCUAUUCCUUGCAGCUUGAGGAGCGUGUGUGGAAGAGGGCGCCUCCUUUCUGGGCAGGCCUGCUCUGUCCACACUGCGGCGGUCAGCAUGGCUUUGUGUUCGGGAAAGGGAUUUUAGGAAACUGCGUAUGAGAGACUUGGGUGCUCUCAAGGGUCAGGUUGAGGCAUCCUUUCUUCUUUCAAGCUGCCACUAGGGGUCGUGACACAGGGUUGUGGGGUCCUCCAAAGCACAGGCCCCAGGGUUACAUCAUACGUGGGCCCCAAGGCCACAAAAGCAGGGAGACAUGACCAGCAAAUAGAUUUCAUCUCGUACACCAACUUCUUUUGAAUGAUUCUUGGUGGUGGCCUAGGAUAUUGUGUUGGAAAAGAUUGCAAGGCUGCCUCGGGGCUCAGCAAGAGAGAGGGCCACCACUGAUGAGAGAUUUCUAAGUGAGCAUUUCCAAGUGAGCCCUAUCCCUGGGUUAACAGCAACACAUGAAAGGGGGUUUUAACUGACCGAUCACUACGAACUACCUGAGUCUCAGGCUAAUUUAAUGGCAAAGUAGGGCAGUGUUAGCUGACACUCCAAUGUCAGCGAACAGUCCAAUGGCAGUGUUAGCUGACACUCCUCCGUGUACAUUUUGGGCCCUAGGCUUUAAGAAGAACACUGAUGAACAUGUAUAUUUAGGACAGUGUUUCUCAAGAUCAGCCCUAUCGACUACUUGGGCCAGAUAAUUCUUGGUUGUCGGGCUGUCCUGUGCAUUAUAGGAUGCUGACAGCAACCCUGGCGUCUAGUUAGGAUACCAGUAGCACCCCUGCCCCACUGGUGACAACCUAAAAUGUCUCCAGAUGUGCUACCCCAGUUGAGAAUUGUUGAUCUAGGAGUAACAGGACCACGGUGGUGAUGUGAUUAGAAGACAAGUCUUUUGAAGAAUAGUUAGGGAAACCAGGGUAGUUUAAUGUAGACAGGACUAACUGUAGUGAUGAACAUUCCAAAACUUGAAAGGUGCUAUACGGGCCUAUUCUCCACCACUCUGGAAGCAACGAAGCCAGUAGGUGAAAGUUCUAGGAGGUUAGCUUUAGAUUCGCCAUACAGAGAAACUUUCCAACAGAGCUUUCUGGCGCUGGCCUGAGACUGCAGUUUCCCAUCACUGUGUGUGGCGUACAAGCAGGGGCUGAGUACCCACUUAGGGAGAGAAGUGGGAAGGGAAGAGUUUCUGGUACCAAACAAGGGUUGGAGCAAUUCUGAAAGUCCCUUUCAAAUACAGUAUUAUAGUUAAAUGAUUCUGUAAUUUGAUAUUCCCUGGGAUUUGCUCUGGCCUUGCCGUUGCCACAGUUGCGUAUUCUGUAUAUGCCUCCUAAAACCUCUGUUAACAAUGAGAGCUCAUACUUACUGAGUGCCUGACCUCAUUUAUCUCAUUUAAUCCCCACAACAACCCUAUGAGGUAGGUCCUAUUAUCUUUGUUUUACAGGUGGGGAAACCGAGGCCUAGUAUUAAGGAACUCAUCCAAGGGCUCAUACCCGGGGAAUUAGACUCCACUGUCCAUGGCCUUCAUUAUUAUACUCUAUUUUAUACAAAUCCAAAGUUUUGAAAAUCCCAGGGGUCAAAUCUGUGUCCAGGCUCAUGUUUUGUACAGUUGUAACCUAUGGAAGGACAACGUGGCCAGGUUUACAUAGAUUGAAGGAGUCCCUCUCGCCCAGGAGCUAUCUUUUGUCUGAAACUCUGAAAGGAAAACAGGAAGGGGGAAUGUCAGGUGGGAAAAUACAGAAUGUUCAUAACUAGACAUCUUUCCCUAAACAAUGUUGGAGUUUGCAGCGAAGCCAUUCUAUUUCAUUCUUAAGCUGGCUCUAUUUAUAACCGUCCCCCUGAUUGCCCACGAAGCCCACAUUAGCAUUUCAUCAGGCGGGUGCACAAGCAGAGCGAGACAAAAGUCAAUACAAGGUUGAUUACUAGUCCUUUUCCUAAUCAUACCUGUAUUUUCCGUUCCUCCUUGUUCUCACCUCAGAGAAAAAAAAAACAUUUCCAGAAGAUUCCUUCAGCAGCAUAACCGAUCCCAUUGUGUUUAAUAACAAACACACUUCAGCCCUUUUAUGAACCUCCAUGGCAGCAGGGAGCUUGAAUCACUGAGAAUGCUGCCAUUCAUCCUAUACCAGUGUCCAAAUUAAACACUUCCACCUCCACAGGAUUCUUGUAAGGGCCCAAAGAAACAAACCAUGCUUUGUAACGUGUAAAUAUUAGCUAUUAUAUUAAAAUUAUAAAGGUUAAUUUGAAUUUUUUACCCCUUCUUAGUACCCCCUAAUUUAAACGACUUCUCAUUGCUGUAAAGUUCAAACUGAGCCUAGAAUUUAAGACCAUCCUAAAAGGCCAUGCUGUCUGUCUAACCCUUCUCCCCAUCUGGAGCCCUGUGUUCCAUCGGGCUGAUCUCCCCGUUGCCCUCUGCCUAGCACAUCCUUCCACCUCCUUUCUGGUUAUCAAGAGCGGGUCCCGUUCAAAGCCCAGCUCAGCUCUGUCUGUCCCCUGGCGUCUCUCCUGAAGGCACAGCCCAGAGCAUGCUCUCCUUUCUCUUUCCUUAACAGAGUUUAGAGAGUGGGGCGGGAAGGUGAACCCCAGAACCCGUGAGAGAGAAGGAGGGCCAGGCACUGGCGUCAGGAUGGGAGGCGGAGGCAGGGGCUGGAUCUGAGUCGGUCUGAUGGGGAAGCACCGCGCAGGCUCCCUCCGCUAACCCUUCCUCCCCUCGGUCACUGUGGUCCGGGCCUUGGGCAGACGGAGGGCCCGCAGAGCGUGAAAGAUCUAAGGACUGGGCCACCUGCGCAGCUCCCUAAAGCCACAUUUGACUGUCUGGCUUUUUAUUCCUUGACCUGCCUUCAGGAUCAUGUGCUGUCACUGAAGAGAUUCAGAGCACUGCCUGGGCUGUCCCUUCCCAGAAUGCCUAGCCCUGCCAUCAGUUUACUGUUUAUUCAUUAAUAAAGCUGGAAACAAGUAUAUUGGGCACCCGCCGAGCACUUCUC